AGGGGCUGGGGCCGGCGUGGUGGGAGCCUGGCUGGGGCAGGGGAUGGGUGUCAGCAGCUUUCGCUGAUCGCUGCUGUUUCGGUGUGUGCUUGAAAUGUCUCAUGCAGCCGUGGCUCCGGUGAGUGGCCUGUGGAAGGGAAACCUGUCUGAUGAUGUAAAGUGAGAUUUUUGGGGUGCAUCCAGGCUUUUCAGGGAAAGGACUGAUGUAGUCAGCACGAACAAGCGCGUUUCGGUCGGUGCUGGCCUUGGAAAAGCCAGAGCCAUUGACGCAUCCGACAGCUGAAGGUUUUGCUGUGUCUUGUACUUUAAGCCAUGACUUUGUGUGAUGGUUUUCCCCCUGGUGAGGUUUGGGACUGGUACCCAAAGUGAAUGCACUGCCAGCAGCGUUGCAUCCCCCAGUCUAAAUCCUCAUAUCGUGAAGCUGCGUGGCCAAAUGUACCCGAAUUGAGUCUGCCCAGCACAGGGGACGAUGGCAACCGCCUUCGCUCCCAUCCCGACUCACCCACCCAGCUAUUAUGGAUUCUCACAGAUCACUUGGCAUCGGGCCAUGGCACGGUAUUGCCGGGUUUGCAUUAUAACCUCUUAUUACAAAACCCUCAACGUUUCUCCGGAUUGUUUCGCCUGUUAUCAUUUUUCCCACAAUGCGCUUGCAUGAUCCUCUCUCAGACUUAACCACAUGGCAACCACAUCACAUAAUGCAACUUCUGUUCUGAGAUUAUUCAUAUUUUUUUUCCCCUAUUGUUGCUUUGCCAAGUUUGUCUUCUAAUUCUGAGAAGCUGAAUUUAAAAGAGCAGUGUCUCCGGUGCAAGGACAUGCUUAGGAGGCAGCGUGAGCAAAUCAACUCGACAAGUGUGUUCACAGGAGUCAAACGGGGGGGAGCUGUGAAAAAGCAAAACAAAAGCCCCUCCAAAUGUCUAUUUUUAUUUUAUUUCGUUUUCUGGAAUGUCUCAUCACAUGAAAUAACAAUGCAUCCCGGCAAAGAGACUGCAGACAGGCUCCAGUGAGAGGGCAGCUGAGGAAAAGAUUGCUUUAUAAGUAGGUUUUUAUACGCAAUCUAUCACAAAUGCCAGUUCCCAGCAGAAUGGGAUAAACAACAAAAAAAGGGCUGUGCUAUCUGGGAUGUGUGUUUGCAGUCGUGCUGCUGGAAGGGAGCAGAGCCUGCGGCCGCGGGCACGCUGCCUGUGUCCCUUGCCGACAUGGAGGACGGUGUGCCGCAGAGGGGCUGGGGCGCGGGCACCGCUCAGGUACCGCUCCGGCUCCAGGUCCUGCUUCCCAGGGAGGAUGCGAAUGGCUUGGGGCUGGUCCAGGGGGGAAGGAGAGAGAGGGGGGCCUGGGCAACACGACCGAUGAGGGAUAACGGAAAGAAAUGAGGUUGUUUAGUCUGGAAAAGGGAAGGCGGCAGGAGGGGGGAAGCGUUCUCAGGCUCUUCAGCUGCACAGGGGCUGCGGUACAGCGGAAGGGGCUGACGCGGUUCCCGUGCCCUGGGACGUCAGGAACUGCCGCGGCCAAGCCCUGGCCUUGGCGCUGCAAAACCACCACCGUCGAAGCCCCGUCGGUCUGACGAGCACUGGGACGAUGGGGAAGUGCACCAAACCCCUGGCGUUUCUGCCCAGUUUCCCAUCUGUGGCAGCCACCAAGGCACUGCCCACUUCUUGACUUCGUUUCUGAUAAAAAGGAUGGAUUUUCCUUCCAAAUGUUUCCAGUCACUGCCAUAUGAAGAGCUUCUGCCAGAUGCGUCGAGCCUCCAAGGAGAGCGGCAGCUUCUACAAAACACCACGGCGAGGCUGGGGGAGAUCAUAUGGUGGAGAACUGGAGGGCAGAGCUGUGCAGCCUGCCCGCGAGCCCGGCUUCCCAGGAAAGCGGUGGAAGGACAUUGAUUUAUGAUCAAAAGGGAAAAAGCAAAGCAGAAUAAAAAGAAUACUUAAGACUUAAAAA